rnacentral:misc_RNA from 1 species
UGUGAGGAUUGAAGGCUUCAAUUGCCGCAGCAGCAUCUCUGCUUUCGCUUAGGUAAAACCAGAAACCAACCAAAAACAAUAAAAAUUUGAGAUUUUUGGGAUGAGAUGAGUUACCAUAACGAAUUCGUUUUAGUCUUUGUACAUAUAGAGUGAAAAAAAGAGAGUCAUCAUUCAACUCCGGUUUGUGAAUAUGUUUAUUAGGUGAUGAAUGAGUGUUCAUUUGAUAUCGGAAAAUAAAUACUUUUAGUAUAAACCCAAAGAAGAGCAAUAAAUCAAAAGAUUGUUCUCUUUAGUUUGGGUAUUAAUUAGGGUUCUUAUUUAGCAUUAGGCUAAAGUUUGUAUUGAGUAUCUACUGUAGUGUGAGAGAGACUACAAGAAAGACUUGUUCUUUUGUGACGGUAAAGUUUGUCACUCUUUAUCCUUCAUUGUAAUUGUAAUCUGAAGGAGUAAUGAAAAUGGUCUAAUUCUUUAUAGCAA